CUUGACAUCCAGAGAUUUAGCAGAGAUGCUUUAGUGCCUUCGGGAACUCUGAGACAGGUGCUGCAUGGCUGUCGUCAGCUCGUGUUGUGAAAUGUUGGGUUAAGUCCGCAACGAGCGCAACCCUUAUCCUUUGUUGCCAGCACGUAAUGGUGGGAACUCAAAGGAGACUGCCGGUGAUAAACCGGAGGAAGGUGGGGAUGACGUCAAGUCAUCAUGGCCCUUACGAGUAGGGCUACACACGUGCUACAAUGGCGUAUACAAAGAGAAGCGACCUCGCGAGAGCAAGCGGACCUCAUAAAGUGCGUCGUAGUCCGGAUUGGAGUCUGCAACUCGACUCCAUGAAGUCGGAAUCGCUAGUAAUCGUAAAUCAGAAUGUUACGGUGAAUACGUUCCCGGGCCUUGUACACACCGCCCGUCACACCAUGGGAGUGGGUUGCAAAAGAAGUAGAUAGCUUAACCUUCGGGAGGGCGUUUACCACUUUGUGAUUCAUGACUGGGGUGAAGUCGUAACAAGGUAAGCGUAGUGCU
rnacentral:rRNA from 1 species